AGGAGAAUAGUUAUCCGCUGGUCUUA
rnacentral:tRNA from 1 species